rnacentral:rRNA from 1 species
GACGAACGCUGGCGGCGUGCUUAACACAUGCAAGUCGAACGGAAAGGCCCUGCUUUUGUGGGGUGCUCGAGUGGCGAACGGGUGAGUAACACGUGAGUAACCUGCCCUUGACUUUGGGAUAACUUCAGGAAACUGGGGCUAAUACCGGAUAGGAGCUCCUGCUGCAUGGUGGGGGUUGGAAAGUUUCGGCGGUUGGGGAUGGACUCGCGGCUUAUCAGCUUGUUGGUGGGGUAGUGGCUUACCAAGGCUUUGACGGGUAGCCGGCCUGAGAGGGUGACCGGCCACAUUGGGACUGAGAUACGGCCCAGACUCCUACGGGAGGCAGCAGUGGGGAAUAGUGCACAAUGGGCGGAAGCCUGAUGCAGCAACGCCGCGUGCGGUAUGACGGCCUUCGGGUUGUAAACCGCUUUCGCCUGUGACGAAGUGUGAGUGACGGUAAUGGGUAAAGAAGCACCGGCUAACUACGUG